CGGGGAAGGGGACGGUUGAUGUUGAGAUAUGUGUCUUCAGAAACACUGUAAGCUACUGAUCGGUGGUGACCAGUGGCAGAUACACAACUAGAGCGCUGACCAACGCUACAAUUCAGUUAACAAGGAGGUAUUAUCUAUGACUAGGGCCUGUGAGCAGAUCCAGGACAUCAUUUUGCAGGGGAAAACGGAUUAUAAGCCAUUCUUGAGCUAACUGGGAGUUCAAGCCUUGGACAAAAUUUGGGAUGAAGUUUAUGAAAUAUUCUCACUUACUCCAACUCUCAUAUUCCAGAGAAAACCCACAGCCAACAAUCGUUCCUGUUAAACAACAACAGCACAGUUGACAGGGAGCCGAUGGAGGAAAUCAAAACAUCUACUAUACUGACACAAUGAUUAACAACCUGCCUGCUGAAUAACAGUUCAGCGUUGACAGUGACUGCGCUGUCAUGAACGACUCCAAGAAGAAAUUAAAUGCUGUGAGUAUGCUAGAAAAUCAGUAAGGGCCAGGGUCAUGCUGCCAAGAGUUAGUUCUUAUGAGCAGGGUGUGUAUCGAGGAGAGAUCUAACGUGCAAGAGUCAUUCAUACCAACCAGCAAACUGGACAGACCUCGGCAGAUACUAGGCGCAGGCGUAUUUUAGUGGUUGACCGUUCCUCAAGAUAUGUCGAGAGAGCUCAGCUCAGCCCGUCAAGGUCCACAAAUGUCAUUGGCCAUUUAAAAUCAUUGUUUGCCAGCCAAGGCAUAUCAGAAAUGUUAGUCACAGAUGACGGGCUGCAGUUUGCGGCCGACUGUGGCUUCGGAAAUGUGACAAGCAGCCCCAAGUUUCAUUAGUGCGACUAGGAUGCUGAACGGGGCAGUUUGGACAGUCAAAAACAUGUUGAAUAAGGCUGAACUGUUUUUACUGGGAGUUGCUUGUGUUCAGAUACACCCUUCUGAAUAAGGGUUACAGAACAGCUGAGCUUUUUCUCGGGCGUCACCUAUGUAUCACCUUGUUAAACAUUGCAGCCUUGUUGGUUCAAGCACCUCCCGACCUGAACAAUGUUUAGCUCAGGGAAAGAAAGGUGGAUGAUUGCGAAAUCCUGUAACAUUGUCCCUUCCUCAUUUUUCAGCAAGAGACAAUGCGUGGCUCAUGGAACAUUCUGUUGUUACAUGGUCAGAGGGCCACAAGGAACACUCAGACCUAACCCUGAUGGCUUGGUGCCCAUGACUACAGAGAACCGCACAGACACCCAGAUGUUGCGUCAACCUGGGGAGGAAAUUCCCAUCCUUCCAAGAUAAAAUCAAGUGUCUACUUAUGUUGACUAUCUGGUCACACCUGCCACUGUGAGAACAAGAUCAGGCAGAGGUGUGAUCAAACUAAUAAUUACAGAAUUUUGAGACUGUGAGUAAAAAAAAAAAAAACUUUUCUUUUGAGUGCCUAGGGCAGUUCAUCAGCAAAGAAUAUGACAAACGUUCAUGCGAAAUGAUUAAUUUAUUUCACUGAGCUUUUAGUGAAAGGCUGUAGUCUACCCUUUGUUCUCUGAAUGGGAGAUGUGGUGUUUGCUAUAGAUUGAGUAAGACUUAGGACGGGAUGACGACUUGUCAAUAAGAGUUCAGGACAAGGGAAACUGGAAGAUGUUUUAGCAUUCUAACGGGCAGUUGAAAUGUACAGUAAGUAGGUGUAUGUUUGUCGUCAACUGUAAAAAGAACACAGAUGAAAUAAAUCGCACAACAUAUAUCAUAACAUCUGAUAGAAUAACAUUUGGGGAAACCUUGUCUAAUCAUUUCAAUGUUUGUUGUUAUAAGUAACUUACCGUUAAUGUUCGGCCAUUGCCUUCACAUUAAAGCGGGUGGUGAGAAAAAAAAAAGGAGACAAGCAGAAUCCUUUCAGUUUUCAUGGUGUUUUAUUGGUUUUGGGAUUUAUUGCAAUCUUUUCAAGGGUGAACAUAACCAG
ensembl:lncRNA